rnacentral:rRNA from 1 species
GGAUCAACAUGUCGGUCGUGCCUCCGGUACGCACUGGCAUCGUUGAUUUCUACCUUCUGACGAACCAUGAUGUCAUUAAUUUGGUGUCAUGGGGAAUCAGGACUGUUACUUUGAAAAAAUUAGAGUGUUUAAAGCAGGCUCACGCUUGAAUACAUUAGCAUGGAAUAAUGAAAUAGGACGUUGAUCUUAUUUUGUUGGUUUCUAGGAUUGACGUA